CAGCCGCCGCGGUAAUACGUAGGGUGCAAGCGUUAAUCGGAAUUACUGGGCGUAAAGCGUGCGCAGGCGGUUUUGUAAGUCUGUCGUGAAAUCCCCGGGCUCAACCUGGGAAUGGCGAUGGAGACUGCAAGGCUAGAAUCUGGCAGAGGGGGGUAGAAUUCCACGUGUAGCAGUGAAAUGCGUAGAUAUGUGGAGGAACACCGAUGGCGAAGGCAGCCCCCUGGGCUAAGAUUGACGCUCAUGCACGAAAGCGUGGGGAGCAAACAGGAUUAGAUACCCCCGUAGUCCCUGUCUCUUAUAC
rnacentral:rRNA from 1 species